AAGGAUGACGGCCUAUGGUUGUAAACUUCUUUUGUACGGGAAAAAUACCUGGUCGUGAACCGGGUUGAUGGUACCGUAAGAAUAAGCAUCGGCUAACUCCGUGC
rnacentral:rRNA from 1 species